rnacentral:rRNA from 1 species
GGGGGUAGAAUUCCAGGUGUAGCGGUGAAAUGCGUAGAGAUCUGGAGGAAUACCGGUGACGAAGGCGGCCCCCUGGACGAAGACUGACGCUCAGGUGCGAAAGCGUGGGGAGCAAACAGGAUUAGAUACCCUGGUAGUCCACGCCGUAAACGAUGUCGACUUGGAGGUUGUGCCCUUGAGGCGUGGCUUCCGGAGCUAACGCGUUAAGUCGACCGCCUGGGGAGUACGGCCGCAAGGUUAAAACUCAAAUGAAUUGACGGGGGCCCGCAC